rnacentral:rRNA from 1 species
UACGAAGGGGGCUAGCGUUGUUCGGAUUUACUGGGCGUAAAGCGCACGUAGGCGGCUCGUUAAGUCGGGGGUGAAAUCCUGGAGCUCAACUCCAGAACUGCCUUCGAUACUGGCGAUCUUGAGUCCGGAAGAGGUGAGUGGAACUCCUAGUGUAGAGGUGGAAUUCGUAGAUAUUAGGAAGAACACCAGUGGCGAAGGCGGCUCACUGGUCCGGUACUGACGCUGAGGCGCGAAAGCGUGGGGAGCGAACAGG